UCCCGUGUGGCUCAGUUGGUAGGGCAUGGUGUUUGCAAUGCCAGGGUUGUGGUUCGAUUCCUACGGGGA
rnacentral:tRNA from 1 species